AGCUGUUGGAAUUAAUAUUAAUAUAUCUGCAUUAAGGCCAAGACCAUAGCUUAAAAUUAAAAAAAAAAGUUUCUUGUCCUCAAAUGCAUUGCGUGACUGACACAAAGAACAGCUACGCGGGAAACUAUUGUCGGCCACACCUUUGUUAUUGUUUUCAUUAAUAUUAGAAGGCACAUAGUGUGUUCAAAUCUUAAAAUAACCAUCUAAAAGGAAAAUUUAAUACUUCAUAUAGUGUGUCAAAAUCUUAAAAUAACCAUCUAAAAGGAAAUUUAAUACUUCAUAUAAAAAAUUCAAUAGAAAAUAUCACAUUGGCUUCCCCAAAUCAACCGAUGGAAAUGGAUGCUUUUUCACACUUUGCAAGGAUGAAACAAUGACGGCUGACAGAGACUAAUAGAAAAUUUAAGCAAUCGAUUAUUACCACAGGCACCGGGGAACUUUGCGUGACUCCGACACGAGCGGCGGCGAAGGAGACUAAUCAAAUUUGAAAUUGCACUGGUAACAUGCAUUACAAAAGUUUUAUACGCAGUUAUCGAUGUUAUCACUGGUUUAUAGGAAGAGCGACUGGUCCAAAUGGCUUGAAACUUCACCAGACCAUAUUUAAGACUCCACUGUCUGGUCAAAAUAUUUUUGAGAGUUUUACGAUUAUAUUUCCGUAGUAAAGUGAACGCCUUAUUUCAAUCCCAUGUGUUUACUGUAAACCAUGACACACACGUGAGCUUGGGGUACCUGUGUUAUUACAUGUAAAGCUUGAUUCAUAAUUAUGUAC